CAGUCGCCGCGGGAAUACGUAGGUCCCGAGCGUUGUCCGGAUUUAUUGGGCGUAAAGGGAGCGCAGGCGGUUUAGUAAGUCUGAAGUUAAAGGCAUUGGCUCAACCAAUGUAUGCUUUGGAAACUGUUAGACUUGAGUGCAGAAGGGGAGAGUGGAAUUCCAUGUGUAGCGGUGAAAUGCGUAGAUAUAUGGAGGAACACCGGUGGCGAAAGCGGCUCUCUGGUCUGUCACUGACGCUGAGGCUCGAAAGCGUGGGGAGCAAACAGGAUUAGAUACCCCCGUAGUCCCUGUCUCUUAUACA
rnacentral:rRNA from 1 species